UUUCCUUUUUCUAUAUAAUUCUUUUACGAGUGGGUCGACAUAUUGUGUUGUCGCUAUGACAUCGAAAUCUUAAAUUUAUAUUGCAAUCAUUGAAUAUAACAGUUAUUUUUCAUAACUAUCACUAAAAGUUUUAUUAAUUUGAUAUGAGAGCAAAGUGGCGUAAGAAGCGUAUGCGGAGGCUAAAACGUAAAAGGAGGAAGAUGCGUGCAAGGUCCAAAUAAAAUGGUACAUUGUGGGCGUAAUACGAUUAAUAUCUCUUACUACUGCUUGUGCAAAAUAAAAAAAAUAUAAAAAUCUUAUAA